rnacentral:rRNA from 1 species
UACGUAUGGUGCAAGCGUUAUCCGGAUUUACUGGGUGUAAAGGGAGCGCAGGCGGCACGGCAAGCCUGAUGUGAAAGCCCGCGGCCCUACCGCGGGACUGCAUUGGGAACUACCGGGCUGGAGUGCCGGAGAGGUAGGCGGAAUUCCUAGUGUAGCGGUGAAAUGCGUAGAUAUUAGGAGGAACACCAGUGGCGAAGGCGGCCUACUGGACGGUGACUGACGCUGAGGCUCGAAAGCGUGGGGAGCAAACAGG